GUUAGAGUUUUUUCAAUUGUUAAGAUUCGUUCGUCCGAUUCCCGCCUAUGGAUGUAAUUUAUGCAUUAAAAAGUAUUAUUUCAGACAACUGUUUACUU